GACGGGGGGGGCAAGUGUUCUUCGGAAUUACUGGGCGUAAAGCGUGCGCAGGCGGCUUCUCAAGUCAGGGGUGAAAGCCCAGAGCUCAACUCUGGAAUUGCCUUUGAGACUGAGUGGCUUGAGUACGAGAGAGGUGAGUGGAAUUCCCAGUGUAGAGGUGAAAUUCGUAGAUAUUGGGAAGAACACCGGUGGCGAAGGCGGCUCACUGGCUCGUAACUGACGCUCAUGCACGACAGCGUGGGGAUCAAACAGG
rnacentral:rRNA from 1 species